ensembl:lncRNA
GUAAGAUCACACUGUUAUUUCUGUCUUUUUUCUGGAUGAUACAUGUUAUUGCAAAUUGCUUGAUUAAACGAAUUAAAUGUAUUAGCCUCAAAUGUGCAAAUGGUACUGGAUGUUCAAAUUUUAUUCUUUGGUCCUUAAUCUCUUUGUCUGUGAAUAACUUGGGAAUUGUUUAAGUAUUAAGAAGUAAGGUAUGUGGAGUACUGAAAUGGAAGUCAUCUACAAGCAUCCCAUUAGAAAUUUAGAAACCUAAACUGUGGGCAAAUUACCACUGUCAUAAAAUUCCCAUUAGCCUGGGAUUAUAAAAUACAUCUGCAUCAUAUUAUUAUCAAAAUUGUAUAUAAUUUUUGAAUUAAUUUCAGUUUUAAAUAUAUUACUCCAUGAAAAGUAAUGUAUUUAAAUCCCUAGUGUUAUAAAUUAAGUAAUGUAUAAUUGACCAACGGUUUAAUUACUGGAAUAAACAGUAUGCAUGUUAGGAAAUAUCUACCAGAUUUUGGGUUUAGUGAAACAAACCCAGAAUUGAACGGAAGGAGUUCAGAGGAAAAAGCUGAAAAACAUUUCAGACUUUGUUAAGAAGCAGAUUUAGGAUUGAAUCCACUUAGAGUAUUUGCGAGUCCAUUUUAAUUAAUAUAAUGAAAUACCCCCGUGGCUGUGGACUAAAUCUGCUAUUUUACUAUUUUUUUCUUACAGAAGGAGAUAGUGCUACAUCUGUGAAACUAUGGGAUUGGAAGGUAGGAUUUAGUAAAGAAUUUAUAAGGCUGUACCUCAAUAAAUACUGUCACUAUUGAUCCUGGAGACCAUUUUCCAGCACCUGAAGGAGAAGAAAAUCAUCACACUGACAGGUAGUCAGUAUGAAUACAUCAAUGGAAAGUCAACCUUCAGUAGCCUGAUGAGCUUUUCUAAUGAAAUGACCAGCAUGAUGCAUGAAGGGAAGACAGUGGAUAGUGUCAUCCUGGACUUCAGUAAGCACUUUUGACACUGUCACCUAUAAAAUCCUCAUAGAGGAGUUGCUGAAGUAUGGAGUGGAGCAGGAGACAGUUACAUGGGUUGAAAACUGGCUGGAUGGGUGAGCUCAGAGGGUAGUGGUCAGAAGUGCAAAGUCUAGCUGGAGGCCAGUAGUGAGUGGCAUACUCCAGGGCUCAGUUCUGGGCCCAGUUGUGUUUAACAUUUUCAUUAAUGAUCUGGACAGUGGUGCAGAGUGCACCUUCAGUAAAUUCACAGAUGACCCCAACCUGGCAGAGUGGCUGAUUCAGCAGAGGGCUCUUCUGUUGUCAAGAGGUACCUCAACAGAUUGGAGACGUGGAUUGACAAAAAUUUCAUGAUGUUCAAGGAGGAGAGUUACAGAGUCCUGCAACUGGAAACAAACAAGUCCAGGCACCAGCAUCUGCUAGAGACCACCUAGCUGGAAGGCAGUUUUUAG